GAUGAACGCUGGCGGCGUGCCUAAUACAUGCAAGUCGAGCGAACAGACGAGGAGCUUGCUCCUCUGACGUUAGCGGCGGACGGGUGAGUAACACGUGGAUAACCUACCUAUAAGACUGGGAUAACUUCGGGAAACCGGAGCUAAUACCGGAUAAUAUAUUGAACCGCAUGGUUCAAUAGUGAAAGACGGUUUUGCUGUCACUUAUAGAUGGAUCCGCGCCGCAUUAGCUAGUUGGUAAGGUAACGGCUUACCAAGGCAACGAUGCGUAGCCGACCUGAGAGGGUGAUCGGCCACACUGGAACUGAGACACGGUCCAGACUCCUACGGGAGGCAGCAGUAGGGAAUCUUCCGCAAGGGGCGAAAGCCGGACGGAGCAACGCCGCGUGAGUGAUGAAGGUCUUCGGAUCGUAAAACUCUGUUAUUAGGGAAGAACAAAUGUGUAAGUAACUAUGCACGUCUUGACGGUACCUAAUCAGAAAGCCACGGCUAACUACG
rnacentral:rRNA from 1 species